rnacentral:rRNA from 1 species
UACGAAGGGGGCUAGCGUUGCUCGGAAUCACUGGGCGUAAAGGGUGCGUAGGCGGGUCUUUAAGUCAGGGGUGAAAUCCUGGAGCUCAACUCCAGAACUGCCUUUGAUACUGAGGAUCUUGAGUUCGGGAGAGGUGAGUGGAACUGCGAGUGUAGAGGUGAAAUUCGUAGAUAUUCGCAAGAACACCAGUGGCGAAGGCGGCUCACUGGCCCGAUACUGACGCUGAGGCACGAAAGCGUCGGGAGCAAACAGG